rnacentral:tRNA from 1 species
UCCGAUAUAGUGUAGUGGACUAUCAUGCCGCGUUUUCACCUCGAAAAUAAGCCGCGGAGACCGGGGUUCGAUUCCCCGUAUCGGAG